AGAAUGUCUGACUGUCCUCUUCUGUGCUUAGACAGAACCAAGCCGGAGAGGCUGCUGCUCUGGCUGCUUCAGGCCUGGGCUGGUUUUCUAGCUAUUUAUGGCGUGGAGUGAGGUGGCUGCGGGUUGCCAGCCUGACCUGUCAUCUGACCCUGCGGGGGAGAAGCAGUCCCCGAUUUGGUUCUGCCUCCCAGCCGACCCCCAUCGUCCCGCCUGCACACUUUUACCUUGUUGGCUGAGAGACAGUGGAGCGCCGCCGGACGGUGGCAGAGCAUGAGAAUGACAAAG
rnacentral:lncRNA from 1 species